GACGAACCGUGCGAACGUUGUUCGGAAUCACUGGGCUUAAAGGGCGCGUAGGCGGCCUGCCAAGUCAGGAGUGAAAUCUUUCGGCUUAACCGGAAAAGUGCUCUUGAUACUGGCGGGCUAGAGGGAGAUAGGGGCAUGUGGAACUUCCGGUGGAGCGGUGAAAUGCGUUGAUAUCGGAAGGAACGCCGGUGGCGAAAGCGACGUGCUGGACCUCUUCUGACGCUGAGGCGCGAAAGCCAGGGUAGCGAACGGG
rnacentral:rRNA from 1 species